rnacentral:rRNA from 1 species
AUUCGAUGCAACGCGAAGAACCUUACCAGGUCUUGACAUCCCUCUGACCGCUCUAGAGAUAGAGCUUUCCUUCGGGACAGAGGUGACAGGUGGUGCAUGGUUGUCGUCAGCUCGUGUCGUGAGAUGUUGGGUUAAGUCCCGCAACGAGCGCAACCCCUAUUGUUAGUUGCCAUCAUUCAGUUGGGCACUCUAGCGAGACUGCCGGUAAUAAACCGGAGGAAGGUGGGGAUGACGUCAAGUCAUCAUGCCCCUUAUGAUCUGGGCUACACACGUGCUACAAUGGCUGGUACAGAGAGCCGCAAUGCAGCAAUGCUUAGCUAACCUCUAAAGCCAGUCCAACGUUCGGAUUGAAGUCUGCAACUCGACUUCAUGAAGUUGGAAUCGCUAGUAAUCGCGGAUCAGCAAUGCCGCGGUGAAUACGUUCCCGGGCCUAGUACAC